GAUGAACGCUGGCGGCGUGCCUAAUACAUGCAAGUCGAACGCAUUGAGAAAAGUGCUUGCACUUUUCAAUUUGAGUGGCGAACGGGUGAGUAACACGUGGGCAACCUACCUGAUAGCGGGGGAUAACGAGUGGAAACAUUCGCUAAUACCGCAUAACAAUAGAGAAGGCAUCUUCUUUAUUUAAAAGGCGCUUUCAAGCGUCACUAUCAGAUGGGCCCGCGGUGCAUUAGUUAGUUGGUGGGGUGAAGGCCUACCAAGACGAUGAUGCAUAGCCGAGUGGAGAGACUGAUCGGCCACAUUGGGACUGAGACGCGGCCCAAACUCCUACGGGAGGCUGCAGUAGGGAAUCUUCCACAAUGGACGAAAGUCUGAUGGAGCAACGCCGCGUGUGUGAUGAAGGCUUUCGGGUCGUAAAGCACUGUUGUAUGGGAAGAAAUGCUAGGCUAGGAAAUGAGCUUAGUUUGACGGUACCAUACCAGAAAGGGACGGCUAAAUACGUGCCAGCCGCCGCAGUAA
rnacentral:rRNA from 1 species